GGGGCGGGGCUUCAAGGGAUUGGUAUCCCCGUGCAAGGAGGUUGGCGAGGCCUCAGGGGACUCCCAGUUCAGCGAAUCCGUUAGCCUUCCUCUGCCUUAGUCACUUCCCCGUGAGGCACUCCGUGUUUGUGUACACGGUUAUUCCACGUGUCAGUCAGUUCAUCGGGCGCAUCCGGAGUCAUUGAAAACAGUAAUAGGAAGUCAAACAAACCCGCUUGAUGCAAAAAUUCAGGAGGACAUUCGGUUUUUAAGGAAAUAGUGCUGAGGAAGGACCAGGCUGGAGCUCCUUGGACCCUGAGACUGGGAGCUAUUGUUGCAGCUCAGACUUCAUCCUCUUUCUCCUGGACUGUUGCUUCCUCCUCACUGCAGACCCAGAGGAACCUUUCGAACACCCAAACCCGUUCUCCCAUGGUUCAAAACCAUUCCAUAAUUUCCAUGACUUCCCCCAUUGACGUGGGAGGGAGUCCGAGCUCCUCAGCUUGGCAUU
ensembl:lncRNA LINC01872 long intergenic non-protein coding RNA 1872